GACGAACGCUGGCGGCAUGCCUAAUACAUGCAAGUCGAGCGAACAGAUGAAGUGCUUGCACUUCUGACGUUAGCGGCGAACGGGUGAGUAACACGUAAGGAAUCUACCUAUAAGCGGGGGAUAACAUUCGGAAACGGGUGCUAAUACCGCAUAAUAUCUUCUUCCGCAUGGAAGAAGAUUGAAAGACGGCUCUGCUGUCAAUUAUAGAUGACCUUGCGGUGCAUUAGUUAGUUGGUGGGGUAAUGGCCUACCAAGACGAUGAUGCAUAGCCGACCUGGGAGGGUGAUCGGCCACAUUGGGACUGAGACACGGCCCAAACUCCGACGGGAGGCAGCAGUAGGGAAUCUUCCGCAAUGGGCGAAAGCCUGACGGAGCAAUGCCGCGUGAGUGAAGAAGGCCUUCGGGUCGUAAAACUCUGUUAUAAGAGAAGAACAAAUUGUAGAGUAACUGCUACAGUCUUGACGGUAUCUUAUCAGAAAGCCACGGCUAACUACGUGCCAGCAGCCGCCGUAA
rnacentral:rRNA from 1 species